rnacentral:rRNA from 1 species
GACGUAGGGGGCCAGCGUUGUUCGGAAUUACUGGGUGUAAAGGGCUCGUAGGCGGCCAACUAAGUCCGACGUGAAAUCCCAAAGCUUAACUUUGGAACUGCGUCGGAUACUGGAUGGCUUGAAUUCGGGAGAGGGAUGCAGAAUUCCAGGUGUAGCGGUGAAAUGCGUAGAUAUCUGGAGGAAUACCGGUGGCGAAGGCGGCAUCCUGGACCGACAUUGACGCUGAGGAGCGAAAGCUAGGGGAGCAAACGGG